UUGUUCGAUCCCCUCAAAAUGAGCCCCUGUUGUCUCUUCCUUGCUGGAUCGCUCUUCUGUUCUCCGACACCACAAAGCAUCAAGAAUUCGAUCCCUUUUCCAAACGAACUGAUUAUUUGGUGAUUGUUAGUUAUUUAGUUCUGAUAGAUUUAUAUGGAUGAUGAGAGGUCAUAUGCUUAUGGCCAUGGGAAAUCUGUUGGUCAUAAGAGAAGAUCUUCCUUCCAGUUUGAUAAUGGAAAACACAAGCGUCAGAACUUCAGCCAUGAUUCAGUGACUUCUAAACCUAUUGAUACCAUAUAUCGCAUUCUCUGCCCUGCAAAGAGGAUUGGUAGUGUUCUUGGGAAAGGGGGAGACAUCAUCAAUGCUCUUAGAGAGGAGACCCAUGCAAAGAUUAGGGUUGCUGAUGCCAUUCCUGGUUUUGAGGAGAGAGUAAUUAUUAUCUUUAGCUACCUGUCAAAGGAAUCUGAAUAUAAUGACUCUGAUCCGGAGCCUGACAAUGGUUAUCCAGCUGAGGAGGAACGUGAGGAAAUGCGGCCAGAUUGUCCAGCCCAGGAUGCUCUUUUGAAAGUCCAUGAUAGAAUCACUGCUGAUGAUUACAUCCGUGGUGGAGUGUUGCAUGAGAAAGCUGAACGUGAUCAUGAGGAUGUCAUUGCACGCAUUCUAGUUCCUAAUAAUCAAGUUGGGUGCCUUCUUGGUAAGGGCGGAACUGUGAUUCAGAAACUGCGAAGUGAAACGAGAGCUAGCAUUCGCAUUUUGCCUGCGGAACACCUCCCACCAUGUGCUAUGCGCACUGAUGAACUUGUGCAGAUUUCUGGAAUUCCACAUGUUGUGAAGAGGGCUUUGUAUGAAAUAUCUUCUCUUUUGCAUAGGCAUCCUCGCAAGGAGAACCCUUCUCUAGAAGAUCUUAUAUUCGCCAGUACCAAUGGGUUGUAUACACCUGGUCCCUCGUUGCCGCCUUCAAUGUCUCAGGGAAAUCAAGGAUGGUCUCACAAACAUCCUGGUCUGCAUGAGAUGCCAAUGCCUCGGUUUGGUGGAUUUAUGAAUAAAUCACCAGGAUAUGCUCCAGGUGGUUAUGAUAACGGUCACGCUAGAGAUAGUCAUGAUUUAUCAGAUGAAUUCUCCAUGAGGAUUUUGUGUGCCACUGAGAAGAUUGGUGGGCUAAUUGGUAAGGGUGGUGUGAAUGUCAGGCAAUUAGAGCAACAUACAGGAGCUCACAUUCAAGUUGAAGAUACUGGUCCAGAGGCAGAUGAGCGUGUGGUUCUUAUUUCUUCAAAAGAGGCUUCUUGGGAUAGAAAUUCCCCGACAAUCGUUGCUAUUCUUCAACUUCAGGAUAAGAUAGGUGCAACAUCUGAAAAGGGCACCAUCACAACAAGGCUUUUGGUUCCCUCAAGCAAAGUUGGUUGCCUUCUUGGACAAGGUGGCAACAUCAUUACUGAGAUGAGAAUGAGGACCCAUGCAGAUAUUCGAGUUUACUCCAAGAAUGAUAAACCAAAGUAUAUACCUUCAAAUGAAGAGCUUGUGCAGAUAUCUGGAACAAAUAGUGUAGCAAAGGAGGCCCUAAUAGAGAUAGCGUCCAGGCUUAGAGAGAGAACCCUGAGGAGUUCCACAAAUCCUGUACCUCAUGGCUCUUUUCAUAGAGGUGCUGAUUUUGAUGAUUUUGAUUCCAGAGUAAUUCCAUCAUCCACUAUGGUUAGGCCAAGGAACACUUCCAGCUAUCGACUUCCCAAGAGGGAUUCUGGGCUGCCAUAUGAAUUUCAUGAGCGUCCUGGUUCGCUGACACGUGCUGGGUAUCCUGGACCUAUGGGCGUGGCUGGGUAUCAGAGUUCUGUGAGUGCUGAUGGGUAUAGAAGUCCUGCCAGUGUAUCCAGGUAUGCUGGUCCAGCGAGUUCGGUGGGGUAUGGUCCUUCAGGUGCUGCUGGUUACCUGAGUUCUGUGAGUGCUGAUGAGCGUCCAGGCCCUGCUAAUGUAUCUGCAUACCCUGGGCCUGCAAAUGCCACCAGGUACUCUGAUCCUGCAAGUGCCACCUGGUACCCUGAUCCUGUAAGUGGUGCCAAGUACCCUGAUCCUGCAAGUGCCACCUGGUACCCUGAUCCUGUAAGUGGUGCCAAGUACCCUGAUCCUGCAAAUGCGGCUCGGUACCCUGGUCUGCCAAGUGGAGCUGGAUAUCAUAAUGCACCAAUUCCUACUGCAUAUGAUGGACCUUUGAGGAGCACCACCAGGUACUCUACUAUGAACAAUUCUGUGGAGAUUAAAAUUCCUAUGGGUGUUGCACCUACGGUUCUUGGAGUGGGUGGGAGCAAUAUUUCAGAAAUCUCUCAGAUAUCUGGAGCGAGAGUGCAAUUACGGGAACCACUUUCUGGUGCAUCUGAGUGUGUUAUUGAGAUAUGUGGUUCCUCUGAUCAAAUAAAGGCAGCACAAAGUCUCCUUCAGGCCUUCAUAGCAUCUGGUGGGCGUGAUGUGCCUCCACCAACAUAUGUGCCUCGUUCGUUCUGAUAUUUUUUUGGGAACUAUGUCUCUCGCGCAACUCAGUUUAUGGUGGUUUGGCCAUUUGUUCCUAUGGCAUAUUCAGCAUUUGAUGUCAGCCAACAUGUUUAAUUACCCACAAUUGUGUUAUUAUCUGAUCUGCAUUGUUUAAUGUAGGAAAUAACAAUCUUUUAGGAAUUAAAGUCUGAGUUAAGUUGUGAUCACUGUAUUUUUUUUUAUUUUAUUUGAAAUGAAUAUUGUAACUCUGAAGCAAACUGAAAAUUCAAGGAUUUGUUGGCAACAUUGUAGAUGGAUGAUGUUCUGCUAUUCUUCUGUAGACUGCAUCAAAAUAUUAGCAGUGCCACUAAUUGUAGGGUGCUUAUUUCAUUGUCAACGAUGCUAAUCAUUAUUGAUGGUGCAGUUGGCAUUACUAUGAUCCUUAGCUGCCCUGAGAUAUGUGACACUAGCGUGUGGUUGCUUCAGAAGAAUUCGAUGGGCAACUUCUCAUGAACAUGGAGCGCAAUCUGAUGCUUUGGAGGAAGUUGCAUGAUCCUGUGCCAUGAAAGAGCUCAAGGUUGCAAUGCUAGGCCAUGGCUUCAUGACCGUCGGGCUCGAUGAAAAGUUCGACCC